UACGUAGGUGGCAAGCGUUGUCCGGAAUUAUUGGGCGUAAGCGCGCGCAGGCGGUCCUUUAAGUCUGAUGUGAAAGCCCACGGCUCAACCGUGGAGGGUCAUUGGAAACUGGAGGACUUGAGUACAGAAGAGGAAAGCGGAAUUCCACGUGUAGCGGUGAAAUGCGUAGAGAUGUGGAGGAACACCAGUGGCGAAGGCGGCUUUCUGGUCUGUAACUGACGCUGAGGCGCGAAAGCGUGGGGAGCAAACAGG
rnacentral:rRNA from 1 species